rnacentral:rRNA from 1 species
CCCGGUGAUCUAGCCAUGGGCAGGUUGAAGGUUGGGUAACACUAACUGGAGGACCGAACCGACUAAUGUUGAAAAAUUAGCGGAUGACCUGUGGCUGGGGGUGAAAGGCCAAUCAAACCGGGAGAUAGCUGGUUCUCCCCGAAAGCUAUUUAGGUAGCGCCUCGUGAAUUCAUCUCCGGGGGUAGAGCACUGUUUCGGCUAGGGGGCCAUCCCGGCUUACCAACCCGAUGCAAACUGCGAAUACCGGAGAAUGUUAUCACGGGAGACACACGGCGGGUGCUAACGUCCGUCGUGAAGAGGGAAACAACCCAGACCGCCAGCUAAGGUCCCAAAGUCAUGGUUAAGUGGGAAACGAUGUGGGAAGGCCCAGACAGCCAGGAUGUUGGCUUAGAAGCAGCCAUCAUUUAAAGAAAGCGUAAUAGCUCACUGGUCGAGUCGGCCUGCGCGGAAGAUGUAACGGGGCUAAACCAUGCACCGAAGCUGCGGCAGCGACGCUUAUG